CUAGAAUCACAGAAACAUAGAAUAUCCUGAAUUGGAAGGGACUCACAAGGAUCAUCGAGUCCAGCUCCAGGAGAAUAAGAACAGCAACAUGCCAGUGUUUUAUGAAGGAGCACCUUGAGUUCCCUGUCCUGGAAUAGGACCACAAAAUGCAGAGCUGUUCAACAGGGAAGUGGAUUUCAGUGCUUACUUGGCUACACUUGCACACUCUGCAGCUCCUGCCAUAAGCACAGGCCCAAGCAGCUGAUGGCAGUGAAGGGGAAGUUUGUGUUUGCUCCGUGGAAGAUCCCUGGACUCCCACAGUGAACGUGAGUACUUUGGUGCAGUUCAAUGUCCAGAUAUCAAAAUAAGCUUGGUUCCCUUUGCCUC
rnacentral:lncRNA from 12 species